rnacentral:tRNA from 1 species
AUUUAUAAAGUUUAUAAAAACACUUCAUUUUCAUUGAAGAGAUAAGCUUGCGCUUUAUAAAUA